rnacentral:rRNA from 1 species
UACGUAGGGUGCGAGCGUUAAUCGGAUUUACUGGGCGUAAAGCGCGCGCAGGCGGCUUUGUAAGUCAGAUGUGAAAUCCCCGGGCUUAACCUGGGAACUGCAUUCGAGACUGCAUUGCUAGAGUAUGGGAGAGGGAAGUGGAAUUUCCGGUGUAGCGGUGAAAUGCGUAGAUAUCGGAAGGAACACCAGUGGCGAAAGCGGCUUCCUGGACCAAUACUGACGCUGAGGUGCGAAAGCGUGGGGAGCAAACAGG